GUUGGGGCAAGUAAAUCCUCAGGGAGGUUUUCAUUUUAGUACCAUCUCGGUUUUGUCCUCAUUUAGUGGAAGGAAAUUUUGAGAAAGUCUUUGACUUUCUCAAUGCACUGGCACAGCAGAUAUAGGCCUAUGGGCCGAUAGUCAUUUGGUGAUAGCGCUACAUAGAUUUGCGAACAAAGGGUAGCCUAUUUGUGUCUUUUGUGAUUAUGGCCUAGUUACUGCUCUCAGGUCAAGGUCCACGCCGAGAGAUGUGAUAACCGUUGCCAUCGCUGUGGUUGGACUUUUGACCACGUCAAUCGUUUCAGAUUAAACUUUUUAACAUAGGACCGAUCAGAAAUGUUACGCAUGCUACGAAAAUACAAAAGACCAUUAAAAUGACAUAAACAAUCGCAAUCUCAUUAUAUUCAGACAACGACCAUGAACCAGAUUUAGAUUCAACCUGAACUGCUAGAUUAAGAGCUGCUGUUAAUGUUAGAUCAUUAUUUUCCAGUAACAGCCUUUGCCUAAUUAAUUCAUUUUUUGUGUGCAGUAUCAGUUGGUCCCUUAUCAUUUCGUCCUGUAACGCCCCGUACUUGCACAUGGUAGCCAGCAUCCCUAAUUCAGCCGCGAACCUCUCCACUGACUCCCAUGGACGUUGGCGCCUGCGUCGGAAUAUGACGCGACGGAGCAGAACACCUUUAGGAGCGGGGUAAUGUGCUUUCAUGAGCUCCACGGCCUUUGCGAAAGUAGGCGCGGGGCCAAGAGUUCCCAACACGCGCUGUCCCUCCGCUCCCAGACAGUGCAGCAGCAGUGCACGGUACCUCCACUCCGGAACAGUGUCCAGGCCGGCAGCGGUGAUAAACGUUUGGAACAAGGUAAUCCAGAGGGGCCACGGCACCGGUGGUUCUCCCGGCAGGGCUAGGAAGGGGAGGGGGUGGUAGGCAGCAUCCAGCCAUCCUCGUCGCCAAUGUUGUUAUGUUUCAAUAAUGGAGACUGAGAAAAGAUCCAACGUCGAAGCUGUUAUGUUCGUUCCUUAGCCUAUUAUUCUACUUCCUGUAGUUUGGUCUGGCUGGUGAAAGAACAAAACAAGAGUUGAGAGACACGCAGAGUUAGAUCUGAAUAACGGAGUCAUAAUUUUGACUCCUCCCAGAGGGCAACGCAGUUAAGUUUCGUUUUGUCCGCCAUUACGCCGAUGGUCAUUUCAGCUGCAACCGAUCUGGAUAAAAGUCUGGAAAGUCUGCUAGGAAAAUAACAACGAUGGAGGCAACUGUUAGGGUGAAAUAUAAGGACAGAAAGAAGUACUUCUUCCUAACAUCACCUUUUCAAUUCGAAGUAUUUUUGGAAAGUGAUUCCUUCAGUUCUAGUACGAUUGGCGAUGGUGAGGCUUCCUUCAGUUCUGGUACAAUUGGCGAUGGAGAGCCUUCAUCAGGAUCUGAUGACACAGCAAUAGUGAUCAGAAAUCCCUCAGAAAAAAGACAUGAAGAGGACCGUCGUCUGGGUCGACACAAGCCCCCCUAGGAGAUUGAAGGAGGAAUACGCCAAAGGAAUCAUCUGCCUUUUUCCUUACUUGGCUGACCCCCGGAGCAAGCUUGGCUAUGAACAUUUUUAUAAUGCUGAAGAUGGAAGUGGGUAUUUGGCUUGGAGAAUCAAAACUCUGCAGAAAGAGGUGUCCGAGGGGCGAAUGAAACGGUCACGACAACUUCAAACAGGUGAGCCAACUUCACACAGGGAUCCAUUGAAAGAAGACAUCCAAUGGGACGAACAGCAGUGUCAAGAAGCAAUUGCCCUGAUGAAGCAUUCUACGGAUGAAGUUGUAGUGAAGGAGAAAAUGAGGCUAACCCUGGCCUAUCGUCAGAAGUUGCUGCACGAUCCUGAGAACUCAGCCGACAUCCUAUCUGUUUUUCCUCGUUUCUUGGACAUUCCAGGUUUGAUUGUUCAAGAUUUCAGGAGUCUUUUUGGUGACGCAACCUCUGCAAAGAUGUUGGAAAAGUGGACCACCAACUUUCAAGCAAAGGUUGUAACUCAGUGUCGUGGGCUUACACUGACUGGAGAUGUACAAGACCUCAUCCAAAAUGCUGAAGCCACUGAAGUAGAUGAUGGCUGGGACAGUGACAUGUCAUCAAUGCUGUUGCUGGUUCACCUUCUGCCACCUUCAAGCCAAGGCGGAAAAAAAACCAGGGAAAAUCUCAGCCAGACAAGCAUGCGACAGUCUUGUAAAAUUCAUCAAGAUUGGGACCAGCAUCCAAGGACACCUGGACAACAUCUCUGGGAGUCUCCAGCCAUACCUACUUGCUGUUGGUGCCAAGAAGAGCAUGAUCGAGUCUUACUACAUCGUGAUCGACAAACAUGCUCUACCCUGUAAGACCUCAACUUCAUUGGCUUGUGUUGAUGAACUUUUCAAAGCACAUUUCGUCUUUGGCACAAGAUACUGUCAGGAAUUGACCAAUGUGUACACCUUUCUGCAAACCACUGUCUAUGACAUAGAUGUGGAAAACACCAAGGUAAAUCCUAGAGUUGCAGAGUUGAGGGCCAGGAUGCUGAAGUAAACUCCUAUGAUCUGCUUCAUUUGUCUUUGUCCCGGAAAAACUCUCAGGUUAAAAUGUGCUCAAAGGGGUUGUGCACAUGUAUAUAAUAGUUUUUCUGGAUUACGAAAGCAUCUCACUAAGUGUUCUUUGCGUGACAGUUCAAGUGUUAAUGAAAGUUCAUCUUCAGCAUAGGAGUGGAGAAUGAGAUGCCUGUGUUUCAUGUAGUCCAGAAUAUUGUUGUAAGAGAUUAGUGUUCUUUUUAUAACGACUGCUAUGAAAACUCUUUAUUUAGAGGAACAUGUCCAUGCUUUCAAGGUUAUGCACACCACAGAAGCACCCAUUGUUUUGGAAUUUAAAGACCUUUUGCACCACAAGUCUUCUGAUUUUUUUUAUGUGGUCUUGAUUCAGAUUUGUUUAUAAUCCAUUAUUUUUUCAUGCAAUGCUUUUUGUUUAGAAUGAUGUCAACAGUGUGCAUGUGCACAUAUGGAAUGAUAAUUUUCUAUUGAG
ensembl:lncRNA